rnacentral:rRNA from 1 species
UGGGGAAUUUUGGACAAUGGGGGAAACCCUGAUCCAGCCAUCCCGCGUGUGCGAUGAAGGCCUUCGGGUUGUAAAGCACUUUUGGCAGGAAAGAAACGUCAUGGGUUAAUACCCCGUGAAACUGACGGUACCUGCAGAAUAAGCACCGGCUAACUACGUGCCAGCAGCCGCGGUAAUACGUAGGGUGCAAGCGUUAAUCGGAAUUACUGGGCGUAAAGCGUGCGCAGGCGGUUCGGAAAGAAAGAUGUGAAAUCCCAGAGCUCAACUUUGGAACUGCAUUUUUAACUACCGGGAUAGAGUGUGUAGGAGGGAGGUGGAAUUCCGCGUGAAGCAGUGAAAUGCGUAGAUAUGCGGAGGAACACCGAUGGCGAAGGCAGCCUCCUGGGAUAACACUGACGCUAAUGCACGAAAGCGUGGGGAGCAAACAGG